AUUACAAUAGCAGAAUGCUCUCUAAGACACUGAGUCAGGAGGCAAGUGACAGAAAAAGAGAUGACAGACAGAAGAUGGAAGAAAGAUGGGGCCAAUGAGAGACCGGUGGUGAAUGGUGGGGGUCUCCUGGUCAAAGAAUUGCUGGGGGAAGAUUCUCAACCAGGAAGGCAAACAACUUAAAAUAGCUCCAGGAAGUCUUUCAAACUGACCAGUUUACUGGACCUCCUCUAAGCAAUAAAAGCAGCAAAGGAGAUUCUGAGACAAGACCAGAUGCUUGGAAGAAGCAAAAGCCAGCCCAGCUGCCUGGAAAGGUUUAGAUCAACUGAGUCAUCGGGAAAGAAUAUGAUCUAACGUGUUUAGGUGCCUCCGACUGUGCAGUGUGCUCAUUUCCGCUCCUACCUUGGGAGAAGAACACUGCUGUCAGCCUUCUUGGGUCGCAUGCCUUGUAAGCAAGACACAGUGAGGUUCUGAGCCUACUUUUAUGUGAGGCAGAAGGAACAGUGAGUUCGUGUCUUGGCUGACAUCUGCCUUUGUUGCCUACCCGCCCAUCUAUGACCCUCCUAGAAAGACUAGAAGAAUUCAAAUUAAGAGAAAUUCUUGAAGAAAAAUUUCUGUUGUUAUAGAACGGUGAGAGAUCAGAAAGGCUGUAGAAGAAACAAGGAAUAAUCUGCUCCAGG